GACGAACGCUGGCGGCGUGCCUAAUACAUGCAAGUCGAACGAAGCUGUUUUAACUGGUGCUUGCACCGACUUAAACAACUGAGUGGCGAACGGGUGAGAACACGUGGGUAACCUGCCCCAAAGCGGGGGAUAACAUUUGGAAACAGAUGCUAAUACCCCAUAAUCAAAGAAACCACAUGGUUUCUGUGUUAAAGAUGGUUUCGGCUAUCACUUUGGGAUGGACCCGCGGCGUAUUAGCUAGUUGGUAAGGUAAUGGCUUACCAAGGCAAUGAUACGUAGCCGAACUGAGAGGUUGAUCGGCCACAUUGGAACUGAGACACGGCCCAAACUCCUACGGGAGGCAGCAGUAGGAAAUCUUCACAAUGGACGAAAGUCUGAUGGAGCAACGCCGCGUGAGUGAAGAAGGUUUUCGGAUCGUAAAACUCUGUUGUCAGAGAAGAACGUGUGCGAGAGUAACUGUUCGUGCAGUGACGGUAUCUGGCCAGAAAGCCACGGCUAACUACGUGCCAGCAGCCGCCGUAA
rnacentral:rRNA from 1 species